rnacentral:rRNA from 1 species
CGACUCCUACGGGGGGCAGCAGUUAGGAAUAUUCGUCAAUGGGGGAAACCCUGAACGAGCAAUGCCGCGUGAAGGAUGACGGUCCUAUGGAUUGUAAACUUCUGUUGUUAGGGAAGAACGACCUAAGUAGGAAAUGACUUAGGAGUGACGGUACCUUUCAAGAAAGCUCCGGCUAACUACGUGCCAGCAGCCGCGGUAAUACGGAGGAUCCAAGCGUUAUCCGGAUUUAUUGGGUUUAAAGGGUGCGUAGGCGGAUUGAUAAGUUAGAGGUGAAAUGUCCGGGCUCAACUCGGGAACUGCCUCUA